rnacentral:lncRNA from 1 species
AAAGUAGGAAGGAAGGGAAAUUCUGUCCUACUGAAUACCAGGAUUUUCUAAUUUAAUUUAGCCCUCUGUUUUCACAGAAGCAACCAGUUUCCAGCCAGAAAGAUGGGACAGCUCUCUGAGUCUUCUUUCAUUCAAGCUGGAUUGGGGAAGGGAAAAAGAAAUCUCAGGGAGCCUUUUAUAACUUCUUGCCCUUGACUGACUAACUGCUCAGUCUUCAGCUUUUGCAUUCCGGAGUGAGUGUGGAGGCAUUGAGGUCUGCAGGAAUAAAUGAGAGAAGUCCAUAUGCCUCCAGGACUGGAUGACUGAAACAGCUGCAUUUGAAAGAAACACAAAAGAAGAUACUAAAUCCUGUCAUAUCAACCUCAACAGAAUGGGAAUCCUCUCAAAAGGGCUUCCCAUCAGGAAGGCUGAUUUGCUGCAUUUUCCCAGUAACUCACUGAAUGCCACAAAAAAAAACAACAAAAUCCAGAUGAGCAAUCUUUUUUUCAUUGCAAGUACAUAAAAAUGACUCUUUGAGUGGAUGCUGCAGCUUCUAUUCAUUGAAAUUGUUGGCAGAGACAAGAAUGUUUGCAACCUUAAAUUCAUGUCUCCCUGGGAUCUCAGUAUGUUGACACCUCUCCUCCCAAU